rnacentral:rRNA from 1 species
CUACGGGAGGCAGCAGUGGGGAAUAUUGGACAAUGGGCGAAAGCCUGAUCCAGCCAUGCCGCGUGUGUGAAGAAGGUCUUCGGAUUGUAAAGCACUUUAAGUUGGGAGGAAGGGUUGUAGAUUAAUACUCUGCAAUUUUGACGUUACCGACAGAAUAAGCACCGGCUAACUCUGUGCCAGCAGCCGCGGUAAUACAGAGGGUGCAAGCGUUAAUCGGAAUUACUGGGCGUAAAGCGCGCGUAGGUGGUUUGUUAAGUUGGAUGUGAAAUCCCCGGGCUCAACCUGGGAACUGCAUCCAAAACUGGCAAGCUAGAGUAUGGUAGAGGGUGGUGGAAUUUCCUGUGUAGCGGUGAAAUGCGUAGAUAUAGGAAGGAACACCAGUGGCGAAGGCGACCACCUGGACUGAUACUGACACUGAGGUGCGAAAGCGUGGGGAGCAAACAGGAUUAGAUACCCCGGU